GUCCACGCCGUAAACGUUGGGCACUAGGUGUGGGUUCCAACCAACGGAAUCCGUGCCGCAGCUAACGCAUUAAGUGCCCCGCCUGGGGAGUACGGCCGCAAGGCUAAAACUCAAAGGAAUUGACGGGGGCCCGCACAAGCGGCGGAGCAUGUUGCUUAAUUCGAGGCAACGCGAAGAACCUUACCUGGGUUUGACAUUCUGGGAAAAGCCGUAGAGAUACGGUGUCCGAAAGGGUCCAGAACAGGUGGUGCAUGGCUGUCGU
rnacentral:rRNA from 1 species